rnacentral:lncRNA from 1 species
CGUUCUUCAUCUUCUUCGUCCCGUUGCUCUGAAAAUUUGAUGUAAAAUCACCUAAAUUCUUCUCAAAAUCACCCAUAAAUUCUGAAUAUAAGCUUUUCUUGACAUUUCGAUUCCUUUGAUAUAUUACCCACUCAAAAUGGAGCUCGUUUGUGGCAAAUCGAAUUUCGAACUCAAGCUUUUGAACUAUUUUUAAUGGAGGUUUCAAGUUGGUGCUUCACAUUUUAAACUAUGAGCUUCAGUUUUCUGUCAUACAGAACUCUUCCAACCAUCAACGAAAGCUGCUCCCAAAUCACGAAUAUAGAUCCAAUAAUUUCAUAGAAAAGCUCAUCGAUUACUAUGGAGGCUAUUCUUCAAAUCUAAAAAUCUUAGCCAUGAACUCAGUCAAACUCAAC